UACGAAGGGGGCUAGCGUUGUUCGGAUUUACUGGGCGUAAAGAGCGCGCAGGCGGUCGUGCAAGUCGCGUGUGAAAGCCCCCGGCUCAACUGGGGAGGGUCACGCGAUACUGCUCGACUCGAAGGCAGGAGAGGGAAGCGGAAUUCCCGGUGUAGUGGUGAAAUGCGUAGAUAUUGGGAGGAACACCAGUGGCGAAGGCGGCUCGCUGGACCGGUUCGUGACGCUGAGGCGCGAAAGCGUGGGGAGCAAACGGG
rnacentral:rRNA from 1 species